AACCACAUUUCGAAUGGAGAUUACUUGCUACUACUUGCUAGCAAGUUUUUAAAGGUUGUCGAAAAAAUUUUUGAGACCACUGCGAAAGAAAAGUAUUUUUGAUACAACUCAGACUCCAACAAUGGUUAGCUAAUUGCCCGGUUGAGCAUUAUCAUUACAUUAUUUACAUUGUUCUCAGAUCGUCUCUACUAUUGCCGCUCUCUCAAACGUUCACUUCUUCCUUUCUUUCACGAGAAUCUCGUGCACCACCGACGUAAAUACAGGUGACCUUAUGAUAGUUGGCUAAUAAAUGCAGUUUUGAAAUUGUACAUCUUGUUUUUAGCAGUAAACAAAACGAUAAAAGCACGUGGUUUAAUGCAAAUCAUUUUUGAUCCUGACCGGUAACCACAAGUCGAGUAUGCCUGUCGUUCAUCCCACUUCUGUCGUCACCUUUAGCUCGGAGGACCCUAACCAUCCAGCCAGCAAUCUUCUUAAUCGAGAGUCAUUCCGAAAAUGGAAAUGCAGCGAAACAUCAAAAAGCCGCAGUGAAUUUGUCAUCCUUAAAUUCGACCAAGCGGUUCAAAUCAUGGGGAUAGAUAUUGGAAAUGAGGCUUCUGCAUUUAUCGAGGUGCAAGUUGCUCGGUCCGGGACCAGUGACCCAAAGUUUGAGGUCCUCCUCAAUUCCGCCAUCCUAAUGACUGCCUCAGAUUCACGAAAUUUGAAGAAUCCUUGCGGUGUACGCAACUUCACCAUCGCCUCUCUGGAUAAGGAGACGUCAGCCCAAAAGUGGGACUUGGUGAAACUGAUUGUGACGCAGCAAUUUAACACGCAGACCCAAUUUGGACUAAACUUUGUCAAGUUUAGAGCCCCAGGUGAUCCCACUGCGCCUGCCAAAAUUGGCGUGUUCGCUAUCAGAAAAACAGGGAUUGGAAACGAUGAGGAUGAUGAAGACGAUGAACAAUUUCGAAUUGGGACCCUGUUUGCCAAGAAGAUGCAAAAGCAAAAGAAUGGUUCAGAUGAACACAUCGGUUCACCAACUUCUUCAACUUCGACGAAUGCAGCCAUCCGUGAAGUUACAAAAGCAAUCUCAGGUGCGUCCCAAUCUUCGAGUGAACAUGCGGUGAAGGAAGUGCUCAAGAGGCCAAAAUUGGAUGUUUCCUCUUCUUCUUCACCAGGACUCGAUUCUAAAAAGACCAAGAAUAUGUCAUCCGAACGAGCCGAUUCCUUGGGGAACAAGGGCCCACGAACAACUAAUUCCACCACUACGAGUACAACUAGCAGCAGUACAAGUGAUAAGCUCCCAAGUAGGAACAAUUUGGCAGACCCACCACUAAGGAAGCAACAAAAGCUGACGGAUGAAAAAGAUAAAAGCAAUCAAAACAACGUCAGUAGUGCAAGCAGUAGCAGCAGCAACAGCCAAGGUCCAGUCCAAGCAUCUCCCUCGAGCACAAGAAAAAGUGGAGGCGGACCAAACACUGGUUCUGCAACUUCGUCUUCCAUUGCAUUCGGUGGGGUAAGACGACGAGACAGCGAGGACGCUGAUAAGCCACACAAACCUUUCGACAUACUGUUUGAGGGAGUCGUCUUUGUGAUGAGCGGAUUUCAAAAUCCGUACCGGAAACAUCUAAGAGAUCGAGCCAUUGAGAUGGGAGCGAAAUGCAAACCGGAUUGGGACUCGAGCUGCACUCAUCUCAUAUGCGCCUUUAUCAACACGCCCAAGUUCCAAGAGGUUCGCACGGCCGGAAAUAACGGCAAGAUUGUGAGGAAAGAGUGGAUCGAGCGGUCAUACGGGGCCAGGGUCCGAUUUCCGUGGAGAAGAUUUUGUCUGGACCGAAAUGACAAGGGCGCGGAGAGUGAGGAGGAGAUUCUGGCAGAAGAAGACCACGACGACGGUGAGGAAGAUGAGGUCGAAGAAGAACAAGAUCCUGGAAAUCCUCCUUCUCCUCGGGCAAAUGGCGAGAAAGUUACGGAAAGGGGAGACCCAACGCGUGCUGGUGAAGGUCAAGAUGCCACCACGACCGCCACGUCCCAAGAUCCCACGAGCCGAAUGGAAGUGGAUGACGACGAGGACAAACCUAUUGCUGGUGGAGGAGGAGAGCGGAAGAGAAAGCGACCCCUCCCACUCAACGACGACGACGAUGAUGACAACGAUAAGUUGGCUGAAGCUUAUAACGCAGACACGGACGUAGAUGAGGACGAUCCUAAAACCAAUGGAAAAGAGGGCGCUGCCAAUAAUAAGGAAGACUCAUCGGGAGCAGAAACGGAUUUUGAGGAGGAACCACCAACCGCUGAUGAAGCGGACUCGUUCUUUCGACAAGUCACAUUUUUCCUCCAUGACCCUCAAGAAGAAGAAGGGGGCACGCGUUCUCUUUUCAAUGAGAAGGAUCGGAUUGAGCAAAUAAUUUUACGAAGGAACGGGGUGGUGGCGACCGAGCUGACGGACGACGUGGACUACCUCAUCACACACCGCCUCGCCUGGGACGAAGCCUUCUCAGAGGCCCUGUCGGACAACCCCAACCUCUCCAUAGUGAACUCGGCAUGGAUCUUGAGGUGCGAAGAAGAGAAGAAACUCUUGGCCUGUGAUGAAUUUAUCAUCACUCCGUCCUAACUUGACCAAAGGGAGGAGUGGAGAGAGGGAGAGAGGAGAAAUCAACAAACGCUUAUCUAACAUCUUUACCCAAAAGUUACAAUUGAAGAGUUGAAAUGUUGUUGUCCAAAAGUUUACCCAUUUAUAUAUGUACUUUUUUUCGUGGUGGCAGGUUUUAUAUAGCAAAAGUUACGAGGCAAAUGGAUCACUUGAGUAUGCCCAUUGUUAUAUUUUUAUGUGUUAUGUUUCCUUUAUAUUUAAUUUAAGAGAAAUUACCAACUUGUAAACUUGGCCCGUUGACAUAGUCAUAGCUCUAAAUCCUUUGUACUUGCAAGAAAGAAAUGUCGUCCACUCUGGUACAAAUACGAUAUAAAAUAAACCUUAAAAAGGAUUACUUAGGUUUAUUUUAUUUUAAGCUUUUAAUUGAUAAUAAUACGAUAAUUAAUUAGAAAUGAAAUAAAUUAACCACACUGAAAAAAAUCUAGUACUUAUGGAAGGAUGUAAAUACUCCAUACUUGUAUAUAUUGGAUAGUAAUUUCGUACCUGGCUGGUAGAAAUUUGGUUAAAAUUAAAAUUGCAUUGCCACAACGGUAAUGAGCGUUAUUACCAUGCGUGUAGAGUCAUA